rnacentral:misc_RNA from 1 species
AAAAAUGUGAGUUUCGUGAUCUAGGCUGUGGACAGGGAAUCAUCAUUUUUGUUUUACUAUAGUCAACGCAAAACGCUUGCGUUUAUUUUCUAUUUUAAAGGUAAACUUGAUGUCUAAAUUAAAAGGUAACGUUAAGUGGUUUAACGAAACUAAAGGUUUUGGUUUUAUCACUCCAGAAGAUGGCAGCAAAGAUGUAUUUGUACACUUUUCCGCUAUUACAUCAGAAGGCUUUAAAACCCUUGCUGAAGGUCAAAAAGUAGAGUUUGAAGUUACUGACGGCGCGAAAGGGCCAUCUGCUGCAAACGUUGUCGCUAUCUAAUUAACGACUUCUUUGAGACAGUAAAAACCCGUUGUUUAACGGGUUUUUAUAU